rnacentral:lncRNA from 1 species
CUUGUUUCUCUCUCCUCUAAGGUUCAAGAAAUGGAGACCUGAGAGUCUGGAAGUUGCCUUAUCCUGGAUUGUCAGGGCCAGAACACCUGGUAUAGAUCAAGAUAGGAUGAUGGAGAAGGAGGAAGCUGAGCCCAUCAGGAUUCCCCCCCAGUACCAUGUGGACCAGAAGCUUCCUCUUCUUAGAGGCACAGGGCAAGAGGAAGCUGGUGAUUUUUUCUAGUCUCCGCCCCUCAACUGCACCAGGAACAUCAGAGAUAUGUGCAGGAGCCUGGAAGCUUGAACUCCACACUGUUGCAGACUAGGAGAGUUCAUGGGAGUCUGUUUACCAUCCAUACUGAACCUAACACGGACUCUGACCAUGGGCUCUGCCCCUCAAAGGUCUGGACUCUCCAGGAACUGCAAUUCCUGCUCCAGAGCUCUUAGGAAGUACUGAGGAGGAUGGUUUCCUCCAUCUUCACUCCAGCUGUGAUAAUGAAACUCUGAAGGCACCCGAGGAACACCUGGUGAUCAAGAGUGAAGGUGGCCUCUGAGUCAGGAAGGAGGAUGUAGCCAUGACUCUCAGGUUGCUGAGAGGAAGAGUUAGCACAUUUCUGAGAAACAUAUAGGUGGUUCCUCUCUGGUUCCAAGAUCUUUUCCAAGCUAUGAGUAAUGUUGAACCCCAUCUUAAAAUGUGUUAUCCACCCAAGUAUCUACAUCUCUUAACCUACUUGGAGAAUUGAUGUUCCAUUACUUCUCAUAGUGGUACUUCAAGUAAACAAGUGUAUAUUUUACCUCCAUACCUUAACAUAUAUCUCUCACUGACGCCCUCAUGGGAUUCCCUGGUACUCUAAAAGCAGUUCUGAAAGAACCUUAAGAUAUGAUAUUGUCCUUGGGAUUGUAUAUUGUCAUUUCCUUUCAUUCAUAGGUAUCACUAGAGCACAGUAACCAUAUGCCUGGCUACAGAGAGUCUCAGUAUUCCAGGAUCAGACAAUAAGGCGACUUCUUCCCUGGGGUGAAAGAGAAAGAUACCUGUAGUGCUAGUCAAUCCCCACCUGGCCUUCCUUCAGCUGGUUCCACUCAAAACUAGGUGCAGACCUCAAGCUGGACAUUUCCCCCCAGACCACUACAUUCUGUAUUUCCAGUAGGAGUGAGAAAAACAUGGGGUAGGUGAGAGAAGAGGAAAUUGGAAGCAGAAGCCACAAGGUAUAGACAGACACACAGACAGACAGAAGAGGAAAUUUCCCUAUAAUCUCUAA